rnacentral:rRNA from 1 species
AUUGAACGCUGGCGGCAUGCCUUACACAUGCAAGUCGAACGGUAACAGGUCUUCGGAUGCUGACGAGUGGCGAACGGGUGAGUAAUACAUCGGAACGUGCCCAGACGUGGGGGAUAACGAGGCGAAAGCUUUGCUAAUACCGCAUACGAUCUAAGGAUGAAAGCAGGGGACCGCAAGGCCUUGCGCGUUUGGAGCGGCCGAUGGCAGAUUAGGUAGUUGGUGGGAUAAAAGCUUACCAAGCCGACGAUCUGUAGCUGGUCUGAGAGGACGACCAGCCACACUGGGACUGAGACACGGCCCAGACUCCUACGGGAGGCAGCAGUGGGGAAUUUUGGACAAUGGGCGAAAGCCUGAUCCAGCAAUGCCGCGUGCAGGAUGAAGGCCUUCGGGUUGUAAACUGCUUUUGUACGGAACGAAAAGGCUCUGGCUAAUACCUGGGGCACAUGACGGUACCGUAAGAAUAAGCACCGGCUAACCACGUG